rnacentral:lncRNA from 1 species
CUAGGCCAUUGAAAUUUUACUGUUGGCCAUUGAAAUUUUCUUUAGAGUUGAGGAUGAACAAGAGGUAUCGCAAGUAGCUCUCCUGCUCAGCUCCUAGAAUUCACAUUGCUAAUUUUAUCACAUUCGUCCUCCUGAUGCGCUACACUGCAGAUGAUGAAACAGCUACCAAAUAAUGCCUAACCAUUUCCAGCAUUCCGGAUGCUUCACAUACCUAUGUCCUUUUCUAAAUUUGAUGAUGAAUAGGAGGCAUUACAAACAGCUCUCCUGCUCAGCUCCCAGGAUUCACAUUGC